rnacentral:rRNA from 1 species
UGGGGAAUAUUGCACAAUGGGCGCAAGCCUGAUGCAGCCAUGCCGCGUGUGUGAAGAAGGCCUUCGGGUUGUAAAGCACUUUCAGCGAGGAGGAAGGUGGUGAGCUUAAUACGCUCAUCAAUUGACGUUACUCGCAGAAGAAGCACCGGCUAACUCCGUGCCAGCAGCCGCGGUAAUACGGAGGGUGCAAGCGUUAAUCGGAAUUACUGGGCAUAAAGCGCACGCAGGCGGUUUGUUAAGUCAGAUGUGAAAUCCCCGGGCUCAACCUGGGAACUGCAUUUGAAACUGGCAAGCUAGAGUCUCGUAGAGGGGGGUAGAAUUCCAGGUGUAGCGGUGAAAUGCGUAGAGAUCUGGAGGAAUACCGGUGGCGAAGGCGGCCCCCUGGACGAAGACUGACGCUCAGGUGCGAAAGCGUGGGGCAGCAAACAGGAUUAGAUACCCUGGUAGUCCACGCUGUAAACGAUGUCGAUUUGGAGGUUGUGCCCUUGAGGCGUGGCUUCCGGAGCUAACGCGUUAAAUCGACCGCCUGGGGGAGUACGGCCGCAAGGUU